rnacentral:rRNA from 1 species
CCCAGACUCCUACGGGAGGCAGCAGUAGGGAAUAUUGCUCAAUGGGGGAAACCCUGAUGCAGCGACGCCGCGUGGGUGAAGGAGCGUUUCGGCGCGUAAAGCCCUAUCGGCAGGGAAGAAGGAGGACGGUACCUGACUAAGAAGCCCCGGCUAACUACGUGCCAGCAGCCGCGGUAAUACGUAGGGGGCGAGCGUUAUCCGGAUUUAUUGGGUUUAAAGGGUGCGCAGGCGGAUUUUUAAGUCAGCGGUCAAAUCGUGGGGCUCAACCCCAUCCAGCCGUUGAAACUGGGGAUCUAGAGUGUGCGAGAGGUAUGCGGAAUGCGUGGUGUAGCGGUGAAAUGCAUAGAUAUCACGCAGAACCCCGAUUGCGAAGGCAGCAUACCGGUGCACAACUGACGCUCAGGCACGAAAGCGUGGGUAUCGAACAGGAUUAGAUACCCGUGUAUG